AUGGAUAGCAUGCCAGGCAUGGAGUCAGGAGGACCUGGGUUCAAAUGUGGCCUCAGAUAUUUCCUAGCUGUGUGGUCCUGGAUAAGACCUUGCUGCUUCUUCUGUCUUAGAAUCAGUACUAAGACAGAAGGUAAGGGAAGGAGGAAGAAAGGAAGAAAGAAAGAAAGAAAGAAAGAAAGAAAGAAAGAAAGAAAGAAAGAAAGAAAGAAAGAAAGAAAGAAAGAAAGAAAGAAAGAAAGAAAGAAAGAAAGAAAGAAAGAAAGAAAGAAAGAAAGAAAGAAAGAAAGAAAGAAAGAAAGAAAGAAAGAAAGAAAGAAAGAAAGAAAGAAAGAAAGAAAGAAAGAAAGAAAGAAGGAAGGAUGGAAAGAAAAUAAGGAAGUUGCAUUUUUGCUGAGCCCACUGCCAGGAGAACACCCCAGUCUUGUCUCAUCAUGGAAGUAUAUGGAGCACCCUACCUUCUGCCAAUCCAAACCUGACCAAUUCUUCAAGUUCUGCCUCCUCCCAGGAGCCUUCCUAGACUACUCCAACUCCCGUGAGUCCUCUGGUUUCUUCUAGCCCUUACAUUUUGGUUCCCAUUACCCAGAAAUCAAUCAAGCACCAUUAU
rnacentral:lncRNA from 1 species